rnacentral:misc_RNA from 1 species
GGUGAGACCACCAGCCACCUGAUGGGCAUGUUCUACCGCACCAUUCGCAUGAUGGAGAACGGCAUCAAGCCCGUGUAUGUCUUUGAUGGCAAGCCGCCACAGCUCAAGUCAGGCGAGCUGGCCAAACGCAGUGAGCGGCGGGCUGAGGCAGAGAAGCAGCUGCAGCAGGCUCAGGCUGCUGGGGCCGAGCAGGAGGUGGAAAAAUUCAC